GACGUAGGGCGCGAGCGUUGUCCGGAUUUAUUGGGCGUAAAGAGCUCGUUAGGCGGCUUGUCGCGUCGAAUGUGAAAACUUCGGGGGCUCAAACCUCCGAGCUUGCAUUCGAUACGGGGCAGGCUAGAGUUCGGUAGGGGAGACUGGAAUUCCUGGUGUAGCGGUGAAAUGCGCAGAUAUCAGGAGGAACACCAAUAGCGAAGGCAGCUCGCUGGGACGUUACUGACACUGAGGCGACGAAAGCGUGGGGAGCAAACAGG
rnacentral:rRNA from 1 species